UGGGGAAUAUUGCGCAGUGGGCGAAAGCCUGACGCAGCAACGCCGCGUGAGUGAUGAAGGCCUUCGGGUCGUAAAGCUCUGUCGGAGGGAACGAAUGCUCCUGAAGUUAACAGCCUCAGGAGGUGACGGUACCCUCAAAGGAAGCACCGGCUAACUCUGUGCCAGCAGCCGCGGUAAUACAGAGGGUGCAAGCGUUGUUCGGAAUCAUUGGGCGUAAAGCGUGCGCAGGCGGUUGUGUAAGUCAGAUGUGAAAUCCCCGGGCUCAACCUGGGAAUUGCAUUUGAGACUGCACGGCUAGAGUGUGUCAGAGGGGGGUAGAAUUCCACGUGUAGCAGUGAAAUGCGUAGAUAUGUGGAGGAAUACCGAUGGCGAAGGCAGCCCCCUGGGAUAACACUGACGCUCAUGCACGAAAGCGUGGGGAGCAAACAGGAUUAGAUACCCUUGUAGUCCCUGAGCGGGCUGGCAAGGCGCAU
rnacentral:rRNA from 1 species